rnacentral:rRNA from 1 species
AUUGAACGCUGGCGGCAGGCUUAACACAUGCAAGUCGAGCGCCCCGCAAGGGGAGCGGCAGACGGGUGAGUAACGCGUGGGAAUCUACCUAUCACUACGGAACAACUCCGGGAAACUGGAGCUAAUACCGUAUACGUCCGUGAGGAGAAAGAUUUAUCGGUGAUAGAUGAGCCCGCGUUGGAUUAGCUAGUUGGUGGGGUAAUGGCCUACCAAGGCGACGAUCCAUAGCUGGUCUGAGAGGAUGAUCAGCCACACUGGGACUGAGACACGGCCCAGACUCCUACGGGAGGCAGCAGUGGGGAAUAUUGGACAAUGGGCGAAAGCCUGAUCCAGCCAUGCCGCGUGAGUGAUGAAGGCCCUAGGGUUGUAAAGCUCUUUCAACGGUGAAGAUAAUGACGGUAACCGUAGAAGAAGCCCCGGCUAACUUCGUGCCAGCCGCCGCAGUAACAC